UGACGGUACCUGACUAAGAAGCCCCGGCUAACUACGUGCCAGCAGCCGCGGUAAUACGUAGGUGGCAAGCGUUGUCCGGAAUUACUGGGUGUAAAGGGAGCGCAGGCGGGGGAGCAAGUCAGCUGUGAAAUCCAUGGGCUUAACCCAUGAACUGCAGUUGAAACUGUUCUUCUUGAGUGAAGUAGAGGUUGGCGGAAUUCCGAGUGUAGCGGUGAAAUGCGUAGAUAUUCGGAGGAACACCGGUGGCGAAGGCGGCCAACUGGGCUUUUACUGACGCUGAGGCUCGAAAGUGUGGGGAGCAAACAGGAUUAGAUACCCUG
rnacentral:rRNA from 1 species